UUCACAAUUUUUUUGUUUUAAUGCAUCAAUUUAUUGGUCGAUUACCUUAACAUGUUGAGUUUUUUUUUCUGGUUGCAAAGAUAAUUCGUGAUUAUUAUAAAAAUUGAAAUGUUACAAUUAUGUAUAUAAAAUGUAGAAGGAAAAGUCCACCAUAAGUUCUUCCUUCCAGAAAUGCAUAUCUUUCUGGAUAUGUGAUGUGUAUAUUAACUUGCAUUAUUAUUUUUUUAAACCAAUGUAGGAUAUACUGUUUCUGAUGUUCCCGCUUGCUUUUGGUCAUCUGGGUCCUGGCUACCUGGCGCAGGGCCCCAGGGUGGCAGCAGCUGUGCACCUGCAGGCUAUGAGAAGUGCAGCCCCUCAGGCCCUCCCCAGACCCUGAGGCAGAGUCUACAUUCUCACAGCCUCCCUGGAUGAUUCGCUUGCACACUGGAGUCGGAAAGUCUGGAUCCCUCACUCUUUUCAGUGGCUUUAUGGAUGUGAUUUAUGUAACCAAUCCGAGUUGUGCAAAUUUUACAAGAAUUUCCUUCUGGAAAUUGCUUAGGGAAAGGGCCUAUUUAAACUCCUGACAUGCAGUCAGCACUCAGAUGUUUGACGGGCAAGUGAGCAAACGAACAAAUGAAUGAAUAAGUGCCUUAGAACACUCAAGGCAGAUACACGUGGGCAGAAAUGAACUUCCAGAGGCCGCCACAGCCUCAGUCGUUUCCUGUUGCAAUAUUGUCUAUGGAAUGGCUGAGCCAAGAACUGAAAGGUUCCGGUUCCUCUCCCCGGAGUUUGGACAGCACCAAGCUGUAGCAGUAGGGUCGUAUGCAACACAGAGAAGGCCAUUUCUGUGGGAGAUGCUUCCAGUGGAACUUUGGAGUCUGGGCUGAGCUUGUCGACAAGGGUCUUGAGCCUGUUGUUUAUUAGAAUUUGGCUGCAGGGUUAGCUCUUCCUCUGACAUGGUUCAUCCCAUUCAUCAGAUGAGUAAGGAGUUGUCCCCGGACUAUAGACCUGCGCUGACAUCUCUUGCACAGUAAAGAAAAGGAAAAAUUCAUAGUUGUAUGUUGUGGUUUUCAGUAUCUUUAGUUUACAAGCCAACUGUUUAUCACAUCAGGACAUUGAUCUAUAAAUAAAUUUGAAAGCAGUGAUACAUCUGGGCCUUCGCGGGCCUCCAGUU